rnacentral:tRNA from 2 species
GGGCCAUUCGCAUAAUUGGUCAAUGCCCCCGGCUCAUAACCGGGUUUAUCAGGGUUCGAGCCCCUGGUGGCCCACCA